rnacentral:rRNA from 1 species
AGUGAACGCUGGCGGUAGGCCUAACACAUGCAAGUCGAACGGCAGCACAGUAAGAGCUUGCUCUUACGGGUGGCGAGUGGCGGACGGGUGAGGAAUACAUCGGAAUCUACUUUUUCGUGGGGGAUAACGUAGGGAAACUUACGCUAAUACCGCAUACGACCUACGGGUGAAAGCAGGGGAUCUUCGGACCUUGCGCGAUUGAAUGAGCCGAUGUCGGAUUAGCUAGUUGGCGGGGUAAAGGCCCACCAAGGCGACGAUCCGUAGCUGGUCUGAGAGGAUGAUCAGCCACACUGGAACUGUAACACGGUCCCGACUCCUACGGGAGGCAGCAGUGGGGAAUAUUGGACAAUGGGCGAAAGCCUGAUCCAGCCAUACCGCGUGAGUGAAGAAGGCCUUCGGGUUGUAAAGCCCUUUUGUUGGGAAAGAAAAGCAGCAGGUUAAUACCCCGCUGUUCUGACGGUACCCAAAGAAUAAGCACCGGCUAACUUCGUG